AGAUGCAGUCUGAGCCUUCUUCUGAAUUUCAAAAUCCCAUUUGACAACACCUGCACAGCUGAGCAAUCAAGGGCCUUCUGACUAAGGGCUGAAUUAUAGUGAACACUACCAUUCAGAGACUUUGAAACAGAUUGAUGAAUGAACCACAUGCAUUAUGUCAGAGGAAUCUAGCUGGAGC